rnacentral:piRNA from 1 species
UUCGUAUAGAAUAUAAAUAAA